rnacentral:rRNA from 1 species
AGUUAAAAAAAAUGUUCGUACUCAUCACCGCAUCAGGUCUCUAAGGUGAAAAGCCUCUAGUUAUUAGAAAUAAUGCAGGUAAGGAAAGUCGGCAAAUUAGAUCCGUAACUUCGGGAAAUGGAUUGGCUCAUAAGAUUACAAUUUAUUAGCAUUAAUAGAUAGAAAUUAUUUAUGAACUGAUACGAUCAUGGUGAAUCCGACUGUUUAAUUAAAACAAAGCAUUGCGAAACUUUUAACAAGAUUUUUACGUAAUGUGAUUUCUGCUCAGUGCUCUGAAUGUCAAAGUGAAGGAAUUCAACCAAGCGCGGGUAAACAGCGGGAGUAACUAUGACUCUCUUAAGGUAGCCAAAUGCCUCGUCAUCUAAUUAGUGACGCGCAUGAAUGGAUUAACGAGAUUCCCACUGUCCCUACUUGCUAUCUAGCGAACCAACAGCCAAGGGAACGGGCUUGGCCAUGUCAGCGGGG